AUUCCAGCUCCAAUAGCGUAUAUUAAUGUUGUUGCAGUUAAAAAGCUCGUAGUUGGAUUUCUGAUGGGAUCGACCCGGUCGGCUCCGAAAGGGGUCGCACUGGUGGUCUGUCCGGUCAUCCUCGAGGGGAGGCUUUCUGGCAUUCAUUUGUUGGGGAGUCGACGCUCGUCGUUUACUGUGAACAAAUUAGAGUGUUCAAAGCAGGCUUAGGCCGUUGAAUACAUUAGCAUGGAAUAAUAAGAUAGGACUUUGGUGGUUUAUUUUGUUGGUUUGCACGCCGAAGUAAUGAUUAAUAGGAGCAGUUGGGGAUGUCCGUAUUCGAUUGUCAGAGGUGAAAUUCUUGGAUUUAUUGAAGACGAACUACUGCGAAAGCAUUCAUCAAGGAUGUUUUCAUUA
rnacentral:rRNA from 1 species